UACGGAGGGUGCAAGCGUUAUCCGGAAUCACUGGGUUUAAAGGGUGCGUAGGCGGACAGGUAAGUCAGUGGUGAAAUCUCUGGGCUUAACCCAGAAACUGCCGUUGAUACUAUUUGUCUUGAAUAUCCUGGAGGUAGGCGGAAUAUGUCAUGUAGCGGUGAAAUGCUUAGAUAUGACAUAGAACACCGAUAGCGAAGGCAGCUUACUACAGGAUGAUUGACGCUGAGGCACGAAAGCGUGGGGAGCAAACAGG
rnacentral:rRNA from 1 species